rnacentral:rRNA from 1 species
AUGAACGCUGGCGGCGUGCCUCACACCUGCAAGUCGAACGGAGUCCAGCCUUUAAGACCUUCGGGUCAAAGAGGGGAAGACUGAGUGGCGGACGGGUGAGUAACACGUGGGCAACCUGGCUCAUAGAGGGGGAUAACAGAGAGAAAUUUCUGCUAAUACCGCAUAAGCACACACUGCCGCAUGGCAGAGGGUGAAAAGAGAAUCGCUAUGAGAUGGACCCGCGUCUGAUUAGCCAGUUGGCAGGGUAAGAGCCUACCAAAGCGACGAUCAGUAGCCGAUCUGAGAGGAUGAACGGCCACAUUGGGACUGAGACACGGCCCAAACUCCUACGGGAGGCAGCAGUGGGGGAUAUUGCACAAUGGGGGGAACCCUGAUGCAGCGACGCCGCGUGAGUGAAGAAGUAUUUCGGUAUGUAAAGCUCUAUCAGCAGGGAAGAUAAUGACAGUACCUGAAUAAGAAGCCCCGGCUAACUACGUG